rnacentral:lncRNA from 1 species
CUUUUAUAUUAUAAAUUGCAUGCCUCUAUAUGUAUAGUUAUAUAAGAAAUGUUUAAAAGACUUAGGAAGGCUAUCCACCCUAUUUCCUUUUCGCGCCUUGAGAUGUGGUCUGGUGGGAUAUUGGAUACUCGUCCGAAGGUCGUUUAAAUAUUAGUUAUAUAUCAUGUGUACAUAUAAAGUCAUAAAAGGUUCUUCCAGUUCAUCCUAUGCCCUUGGGUAGCAAGGGUAUACAUCCACGUCCAUACGUACCACUUAGAUUACUAGUAAGCUACCAUUUGGGUAGUUCAGGAAGAUACUAGAACUAUUACUAGAACACGAUAUCAUACAACGAGUCAGUUCAUUCAUGAGUCAAUACUUUCUAGAACGUUGCUGUGCAAUACAUAUACAUCUAUAUUAGGACGAGAACAUAUACAAUUAUACUAGAACACUUACAUGACAAUACUUGCUAGAUAAAGAGAUCACACAUUACAGCUAGCACACGUAGAACAUUUCAGUACACCAUAAGUACAAUUACAUGAUCACACUUACAUGAGUACGCUUUCAUAUACAUAGGAUAGACGUCAUUAGGGGCUAUAGCUCAGAACCAGUUUAGGAUCUAACUAUACUGAUAAAACACACUACGAUUGUGAUUGUUAUAUCGAGUAUACAUGAUCGCAGGUAAUGUGGUGCUCACGGCUUGCAUUCAUGCAGGGGUCGUGUGUGGGUCCUAAAAUCCCUCUGAUAGGGGAGCGAAACAGUCUGGGAUCUAGACAUCACAUUAUACCUUAUCCAUCAAAUAAGGCAAGUUGAGUAUCGGUGUAUUGAUAUAUAUACCUAUAUAUAUAUAUAAAUACUGUGGUACUUGGUAGGUUUACCCUAGAUUUAAGGUAAUAGGUACGGUUGUAGUUCGACACUACACCAUAGUACCAUUCCUUUCCCAUUACAUUCACUUCGCGAAUUUUCAUAGGAAGCGCGGCAAUGUAGAUGCUAUCUGUUGAUAAAUAGUAGCCCUUUUAGAGCUACGAUUUAGUACUACGUUAAUUUUUCCAGUACAUAUUUCAGUGAUAACCUCACUUAAACAUAAAUAUACAAUCUAUAUUUUGAGUAAUGAUAGUUAUACUUUGGAAAAAUACAUACUCUUACAAGAGACACACACACACAGAACAGUUAAGUCUUGGUAGAAGACUCCUUUUGUUACUAAUAGGAAUCAUAGGGAUUUCUAGGGAUUUUCAAACAUAUACAGUUGAGCUACAAAUAUUUUCAUACUUAUACUCGUUUUCUUUCAAAGCAAUGUCAAGUCUUAGAAAUUAUAAGUUUUCACAAAUUAAGACACAUUAAUACUUAUGAUCUCACCAGCUUUAAAGCUGAUACUCGCUUUCAAAAUUACUUGUAUCCUCAGGUCAUCAUAGACAGGUACCGAUGCAAGGAAAACGGAAGAUGGAGCUUAUUCAAGACUUAUCUUUCAUUUUGAUUUAUGCUUUAGUGUUUAUCAAAAUUUGACAGAAUACAAUUGUAUAAUAAUUAUUUUAUUAAUGCAAUGGAUGAUGUUGUUGCUUGUUUACUACUUUACAUUGUUGUUGAUAUUAUACAUGACGUCCUCCGCCCCAGAACGUUUCCGCCGUUCUCGGUUUUGGGGUGUGACAGAUUGGUAUCAGAGCAUUGUUUAUAGUGAAUUGAGUAUAUCAACCCAUAAAAGAUAUACUAACUAUAAAUACAAUGGGAUUAAAAAUACUCUGAUUUAGAGUUUAUACUUUAAAUAAUAAAAUAUUUAAGUAAGUAUACGUGCCUGCAUUCAUACUAAAAUCAGUGUCACUAGGACAGUACAAAAGAAUUACGAUUGUUGGGCAACACAAGUGUGCUUAGAGACAUAUGGUCAAAACUGGGAAGAUAUAGCCUGAUCGCCUAUAUUAUCCGAGGGUUGACUAGCAUGUGCCUAAGUUUAAGUGUGUGGUUGCAACAAUGCUAAAAUCUUACCAACCCUACCACAAUGAGAACAAUAGAACAUAACAUAAAAAUUUUAAAUACUAUAGGAGUAUUUGGUGUUACUAUAAGUACUUUAUACUUGAGAAUUAAAAUGGAAUCCUCAUUACUAGGUUGAUAGUUGCUAAGUGGAUACACUAAGGCUACAUGUAAUUAGGAUGUUAUAGACUUAGAAUCAGUGGUAAUUUUGCCUUACCCCUAUUCUGUGUGAAUUUGGAAAUAAGGUCACUUAUUCGAAGGUCUAUCCUGUUUAGAUUACACAUAGCUGGUAUGCACUUCACAAUUAGCGAUGUAACUAAUGAAGGUUUUCUAAAUAAUUAUCUAGAUAGUUCAUCUAAUAAUUAUCCUCUUACCCUAAGUUCUCGCAUAAAAAUCAUAGCUGGACUCCAUUCCCUUGACAACCAGUACCUUCCGAAUGAAGUCAUAGCUGGUUGGUUUGGAGAAGAACCAGAGAAUGAUCAUCCUAUCCCCUUGGAUGAUCACCGUAAUGAAGACUUUUCGUACGAUGCUAACCCCGAGCCAGAGGUUGAGAACCUACCCCGAGUAGCUCCCGUUUCAAAUUCCUAACCCUCUUCCGGCUUUUCAUGGCCUGACCCUGAGUGAGUGGAAUGCUUGGAAACAUGGAGCCAAGAACAAGAUCAGCCCAUGCCAUUUAUUCGCAACCGAAACUUUUACGACGUGAGCAAUAAGGGCUUAGCAGAUAUAGUCUUGCCAAUCUUGGUCCGCAGAGAGGCCAGAAUUGAGAUUCAAGGCAGGACAGCCUGCAUCAGAAUUCAGAAGAAGUCGCAUAUGCUAGAAUGCAUACCCUCCAAACCCUUCUUCUAGAGGAUGUUCACGAGAGAUCAGAUAGAAACCACGAAACCCUGCUGCAAGCACUAGCUGAAUCACAAGCCGAAGUCAUAGGACUCCGAGUACGCCAGAUGGUGUGCGAAAGACACCUACUUGACAAUGGAACGUCAAUUGGUUGAACUAAGAGUGCACCAGAGGGAUGACCGUCGCCCGUAGUAGACGCUUUACUUAUUUCCCUUAUAAAAAGGAAUCGUUUUCUGUCUAUGCCCGAUGUGGCAUUUUCUAUGAAAUUAUCUUGUUCAGUACGAACUUUAGUUAGGUCUUUAUGCUGUCAGGAACUACCUUCUGGGGAUAUGAUGUGAGACCUUUAAAAGGUCGUUUUCCAAAACCCUUACAUCGUGAAUAUCAAAGAUAUUGACAGCCGGCUAACUGUUGCGUCAUUCUUCAUUUCAAGUACUUUUAUCUUACUUUCAUUAGAGUCCAUUUAAAUCAUACUUUAGUCAAGUCAUUGGACUAUAGUAAUUUAUCUACGGAGACACUUCCAAGUCUCUUUCAGUGGUUGGAUCUUGUUAUUCACCAACCCACGAUACCUCAGUUCGAACGACAAACGUCUUGAGACCAUUCUACGAACAUACUUCCAUUCCGUACCAGGACUGUAUCAUGNCAUUCAAGUACUUUUAUCUUACCUUCAUUCGAGUCUAUCUGAAACAUGCUUUAGUCAAGUCAUUGGACUAUGGUGAUUUAUUCAGGAGACACUUCCAAGUCUCCUUCAGUGGUUGGAUCUUGUUAUUCACCAACCCACGAUACCUCAGCUCGAACGACAAACGUCUUGUGACCAUUCUACGAUCAUACUUCCAUUCCGUACUAGGACUGCAUCAUAGGGAUGUAGGUCAAACUUUAGAGAUCAUACUCUUACUCUUUUCAUGAACAAUCUAAGUACAUCAGGGUCAACCAUAAUCGCUUACAAAUCUUUACUCUUUCAUGUUACAGAAUCAUGGCGUCGUCCGGAAACAACCAGCCAAGCAACGAGACCUCUACUUUUCCGAUGGACGCCGCCACCUUUCAAACGACAGUUACAGCUGCUGUAGUGGCGGCCGUAACCGCGGUCAUGGCGCACCGUAGCGCUAACAGCACAGUCAAUGCUGCUAAUGGGAAUAAAGUUUCCAAUCGCAAUAUCCAUCCAGGAAGUCAUCCAACAGUAACAUCCACAGGCUCGCAAAGCCAGAAAGCAGAGAACAAGAAAAGAAAAUGUCAAGCCAAAGUGGAACGCAAACGGUUUCAGAAAAUUGCCAGACAGCAGCCACAAACCUCUGCCAUCCCAGUACCGAGCAGACCAUAUAAGGGAACACUCUCGAAGUGCGACCGGUGCAAUUUCCACCACGAGGGAAUGUGCCAAGUCUUGCAGUACGUGAACUGCAACAAGAAAGGACACAUCGCCCGUUUCUGUAAAGCUACCUUCACCACUAGGGCCAGCCUAAAUUGCUAUAACUGUGGUGAGUUUGGGCACUAUAAAAGAGAUUGCCCAAAGAAGGAAAACAAGGAAAGCACCCGUGUUCCCAUAACUCCUACCCUACACUUCACUUCCUCCACUGAUGUGAGUACUAGCCAGUCAUGCCACCAAUGCGGUGAGUUAGGGCACUUCAAGAAGGAUUGCCCGAUAAUGCAGAACCCUGGCGCAGACGGGAAGAUUCCCAGGAUCACAGCUGCAGGAGAGCCUGCUCAGGAACCACGUUAAUGUAUUUAAGGCGUUUCGUUGUAACAGACUUAUAAACUAUCUAGAACUAGUGCAACUAGAGUCUUACCUUUUGCGAGAUCCUGUCUGUAUAGGAAUUCUCGUGCUGCGUAUACUUGUCUUUUGUAGUAUAUCUUAUUCGCAGCAAUAGUCUUGUGGUAAAUCUAAAGUACUGUAACUCUGUUCAUGGUUGCACAGUUGUGUUUUGUCUGUAAUCGUCUAUGUUUAAUUCUAAUGUCUUUAAAGUUUCUGUAUGAUUCCGACAUUAUCAUACAAUCAGAUUCAAUUUGAUCGAUGCGAAAACAGCUUCAUGCGUACAUCUCUUUCUUCUAGAUCACUUUUUCAGCGAAGCCGUCAUAUCAGAACACCGAAGUACUCAUUCCAGGAGUACCCCUUAGUUAUUUUUCUUGCCGAAGAAAUCCCCGAAGUACCACUCGUGCAGUACGUCAAGUUCAAUCCAAGGAUUCAUAUGAUUGAUCUAUCACUGAGAAUGGUAUACAUAAGAGUGAUAUAUAAUCAAGCUUCUACAGGCAUAGAAUUGAUGAUUCCACUUUAACUUCUUUUUCCCCGAUGGGAUGUGAGCUUAAAGAAGAAUCAGUUAUUCGACUACCUUUUCAACCUUGAUUAUAUGCAACUCGUAUAACCGAAAGUGUGAUGGUGAUACCAUAUAUGAAUUCUAAUAUGAACUUCAGGACGGAGAAACUGCCUAAGUAUACGAGUAAUCACAUCGUCAUGUGAAUAAACUUAGAACCCAGUACAACUCCCGAAAACAGAUCGCCCUAUAGCUUAAACACCCACAGAGAUACAAGAACAACACGAGCAACUUGACGAACCACACAUAAAUAGAAUUAGAAGACUAGGUUUCUCACCCUAGAGAACCCCGGUCAGAUUCUUCCAGAGGUUGAUGGAUCGCAUCGUAGGUGCCUCGGUUAUCGAGGAAUCCGUCAAGAUUUUCAUAGNGCGUUAUCUCUGCCUCGCAUAUACAAAAUGGUUGAGCAAACGUAAGGAAAGAAUCUACUUCCAGGAAUGGAUCUGGAAUCCGAAUAUCACCAGUUCGAGUGUUAGGGGAGGAUGUCCGGAAGACUAUCUCCUGAACCCGAUACGGACACUUCGAGUUCGUAGUGAUACCUUUCGGAUAGGACCAGUACGCCCAUGGUUUUCAUGAGUUAAAUGAAGGGUCACGUCUUUCUUACUUGGAUGAAUUUGUCAUUUUCCCCAUGAGAUGACUUACUUAUCUACCCUCGUAGUAAGAAGAAAGCCCAUGGUAACAAUCCUACAGUGGAACUUUUAGCAAAGUUCUCUAGGCACGAGUUUUGAAAUUGAAGAGUCAAAUUUCUAGGACACACUGAUAGUAAUGUGUGAAAUUUUGAGUACUCUUUCAAUUUGNUCCUUAAUCACGUCAUUUUAAUAAAUAAAUAAUAAAAAUAAUUUCGGAAUUUGCCAACGGAAUCUAAACGAAAGUUGUAGAUCAUGGUCUCACCUUCGCGUGGAUAUAAAGAACGUCAAAAACGGAGUUCGUAUGAGGGAGAUAUGAAUUUUAGAAGUUUAAUUAAAAUAAAUAUGAAUUUAAUUAUAAAUUCCCGGUAUUAUCCGAAGGGGAGUCAUCGGAUAGGACCGAAGUACGCCCUGCGUACCUUCGUACGCCCCGCGUACUGAGAUCGAGGGUCUCGGAUCGUCCACGUCGCACUAUCCGAAGAAUCUAACCCGUCCGACCCGUCCGAAGCUCCGACCCGUCCGACCCGCUGUCCCGUCCGACCCGCCGUCCCAUCCGACCCGCGUACCCAGCAACCCGUCCCAUCCGAACCGAGGCAGUCGAGGCUUCGGUCACGCAUGACGUACGCGUACGCGCUGCGUACGAGCGUACGCCCCGCGUUCGGAGGCGGUUCAGCCUUCCUAUAAAUAGGAUGCGAGGCUUUCCGAAAAAGUUGCUCAAUUCUCUCAUUUCUCUCUCGAUCUUGCCUCGUUUUCCGUGCCCGUUAUAACCCGAAGCUCUGGUCUUUUUGCUCAAGUCCCGAGGGUCGAUUUUACUCCCGAGAUUCCCGAGAAUCCUGAGAAAAAUCCGUUUCCCGAGACGAAACUCUGUCCGGUUUUCCAUCUCGCUAUCUUCAAACUUUCAUGUGAGUUCAUACCCCUUAAAUAAUGUUUUAAACUACUUUUAAAUGCUUUAUGGGGGGGAGGAUACAAGUAGAAUCAUAUUACUUAUUGUAUCAAUCACAUGUAAUUAAUAUACAACAUUCAAAAGAUUUGGCUACUCAUUAGCCGUUUUACCAAACAGUUUCCUUCAAAUGAUUUUUAUAAACAUUUUAUAUGUUUUAAACUCCUUAUUACACUGUACCUCUUACUCUGUUUAUCAUAUUUCAAACUUAUUUACAACUGUGUUUCAAAAAAAUGUUCCUUAUACUUAUAUUGUUUUAUCAAACUUAUGCCUUCAAAUUGUUUUAUAGAUUGACAUCAAGUCGAUCUUUCUUUAAACUAAUAUUUAUGUUUCAAAUGUUUUACCAAACUUAUUUAUGCUUUUAUAUUAUAAAUUGCAUGCCUCUAUAUGUAUAGUUAUAUAAGAAAUGUUUAAAAGACUUAGGAAGGCUAUUCACCCUAUUUCCUUCUUCUCGAUUUGAAUAUGGUCUGGUGGGAUAUCAGAUACUCAUCCGAAGGUCGUUUAAAUAUUAGUUAUAUAUCAUGUAUACAUAUAAAGUCAUAAAAGGUCCUUCCAGUUCAUCCUAUGCCCUUGGGUAGCAAGGGUAUACAUCCACGUCCAUACGUACCACUUAGAUUACUAGUAAGCUACCAUAUGGGUAGUUCAGGAAGAUACUAGAACCAUUACUAGAACGCGAUAUCAUACAAUGAGUCAGUUCAUUCAUGAGUCAAUACUUUCUAGAACAUUACUGUACAAUACAUAUACAUCUAUACUAGGACGAGAACAUAUACAAUUAUACUAGAACGCUUACAUGACAAUACUUGCUAGAUAGAGAGAACACACAUUACAGCUAGCACACGUAGAACAUUUCAGUACACCAUAAGUACAAUUACAUGAUCACACUUACAUGAGUACGCUUUCAUAUACAUAGGAUAGACGUCACUAGGGGCUAUAGCUCAGAACCAGUUUAGGAUCUAACUAUACUGAUAAAACACACUACGAUUGUGAUUGUUAUAUCGAGUAUACAUGAUCGCAGGUAAUGUGAUGCUCACGGCUUGCAUUUAUGCAGGGGUCGUGUGUAGGUCCUAAAAUCCCUUUGAUAGGGGAGCGAAACAGUCUGGGAUCUAGACAUCACAUUAUACCUUAUCCAUCAAAUAAGGCAAGUUGAGUAUCGGUGUAUUGAUAUAUAUAUUUAUAUAUAUCCAAAUACUGUGGUACUUGGUAGUAUUACCCUAGAUUUAAGGUAAUAGGUACGGUUGUAGUUCGACACUACACCAUAGUACCAUUUCUUUCCCAUUACAUUCACUUCGUGAAUUUUUCAUAGGAAGCGCGGUAAUGUAGAUGCUAUCUGUUGAUAAAUAGUAGCCCUUUUAGAGCUACGAUUUAGUACUACGUUAAUUUUUCCAGUACAUAUUUCAGUGAUAACCUCACUUAAACAUAAAUAUACAAUCUAUAUUUUGAGUAAUGAUAGUUAUACUUUGGAAAAAUACAUACUCUUACAAGAGACACAC